rnacentral:rRNA from 1 species
UACGGGGGGGGCAAGCGUUGUUCGGAAUUACUGGGCGUAAAGGGCUCGUAGGCGGCCAACUAAGUCGGACGUGAAAUCCCCAGGCUCAACCUGGGAACUGCGUCUGAUACUGGAUGGCUUGAAUCCGGGAGAGGGAUGCAGAAUUCCAGGUGUAGCGGUGAAAUGCGUAGAUAUCGGAAGGAACACCAGUGGCGAAAGCGGCUUCCUGGUCCAGCACCGACGUUCAGGCACGAAAGCGUGGGGAGCAAACAGG